UGCUUUGUGUUUUCCAUGUGACCUGUU
rnacentral:piRNA from 1 species